rnacentral:sRNA from 1 species
GGCCAAGACUGGGACCAGGAAAGAAUGAAAAUGAAAGCCAAGUUUCAACAGAUGAAAGUGAGAACUCCAGGUCUCCUGGAAAUAAAUCAGAUAACAUCAAGCCCAAAUCUGCUCCAUGGAACUCUUUUCUCCCUCCACCACCCCCCAUGCCAGGGCCAAGACUGGGACCAGGAAAGAAUGAAAAUGAAAGCCAAGUUUCAACAGAUGAAAGUGAA